rnacentral:rRNA from 1 species
AGAACGAACGCUGGCGGCGUGGAUAAGACAUGCAAGUCGGACGCGACUUAUCUGAUUAGCAAUAAUGAGGUAAGUUGAGUGGCGAAAGGGUGCGUAACACGUGGGAAUUUACCAAGAAGUGGGGAAUAGCUCGACGAAAGUCGAAUUAAUACCGCAUGUGAUCGUAAGAUCAAAGCCGGGGACCGCAAGGCCUGGCGCUUUUUGAGAAGCCCGCGGCCCAUCAGCUAGUUGGCGAGGUAAUGGCUCACCAAGGCUAUGACGGGUAGCUGGUCUGAGAGGACGACCAGCCACACUGGAACUGAGACACGGUCCAGACACCUACGGGUGGCAGCAGUCGAGAAUUUUCACAAUGGGGGAACCCUGAUGGAGCGACGCCGCGUGGAGGAUGAAGGUUCUUGGAUUGUAAACUCCUGUCACUGCAGAACAAGGAUACGCCAGUUAACAGCCGGC